UUGAAUGUCAAAUAUAUGGUCAUUCUGACACUGUUUUUUAGAGGAAACCCGCUGUUGCCACAUAGGCUAUUCUUUUAUGACAGGUGUCACAAGUCAAGGGUAAUCUGAUUUUAAUUGUAUGAAAGAGAAUAUGUGGUUAUAUAUUUUAUAACAUUUUUUAUCAUUUAUACGGUAUUUUAAUUUAUACGAAUGAGAGAAGCAUGAAGUAUGAGUCAUAGCUUGUAUCUCACACGUGAAGCUGUCUUUAAUUAGCAAGGUAGCAAUUUGUAUUAUUGUAGCUUGUGGUAUGGGUGAGUGAUAGAUGAGUGAUAAGCUGACUGGGUGAAUAUAGUGUGGAACUGGGCUAUUGAGUGGAUGAUUUGUCAUUAAUCGCUGAGAGAGAAUCAUUGAACAUUCAGUUUGGGAAAGACUUGGUAGAAGUGUAAGAGACUUUGUGGAAGUUCGGGUUAUUGUUUAACCCAGCUUGUGUGGUAUCUGUUGAGACCAACAACGGGAUGAGCAGCGAGGGGCAAUGUUAGAGUUUGACCAGGUGAUUGGGCUGUGGAAUUAUGUGAAGAAGGGACGAGGAAACUGACGUUGAUGUUAAUUCAUGGAAGUUGGGUACAGCUGAAGUGGAAAUUGAAGUUCCACAUGUGGGCUACUUAUUAGCCAUGAUGUUGUGGUGGUGAAUAACAAGUGUAUUGUUAUCGUGCAGCAUCUCGGUGAAUAACAAGUGUAUUGUUAUUGUGCAGCAGAAACAUAUUGUGUAAAUAUGGCUGUAGUAUUUAGAGCUGAUCUGAAAUGGAGGGUGCUAACUAAUGUUAAUACAUAAUUUAGUUAGAACAAUAUAUGUAUAUAAAAGUUGAUCACGAGGAAGUGAAUCAUAAGGAUUGUGUUAUGAACUGAAACAUUGUAUAUUGAACUGUGUGGUUUUAGUAUAUUAUUUUGUGUGUUGUGAUACGUGAUAUUUUUAUAUGAAAUUAUGUGUAAAGUGGUGAUAAUGUAUGUUUAUUAUAUAUGAGAAGUGUGAGUGUUGAGGGAGUGCUGGUGAUUAGUGGUGUGUGAGAGGGAUAUAAUUAGGGUUAGUAAGUAGGAGUGGAGAAUGAAUGUGAUUGUUAUUUGUGUGCUGUAAAUAAAUGUAAUAUAAUUUA
rnacentral:lncRNA from 1 species